UACAGAGGUCCCAAGCGUUGUUCGGAGUUACUGGGCGUAAAGGGUGUGUAGGCGGUUGUUUAAGUUUGGUGUGAAAUCUCCCGGCUCAACUGGGAGGGUGCGCCGAAUACUGAAUGACUUCGAGUGCGGGAGAGGGAUGCGGAAUUCCAGGUGUAGCGGUGAAAUGCGUAGAUAUCUGGAGGAACACCGGUGGCGAAGGCGGCAUCCUGGACCGGUAUUGACGCUGAGGCGGCGAAAAGCCAGGGGAGCAAAGCGGGG
rnacentral:rRNA from 1 species